rnacentral:rRNA from 1 species
UAGGGAAUCUUCCACAAUGGACGAAAGUCUGAUGGAGCAACGCCGCGUGGGUGAAGAAGGGUUUCGGCUCGUAAAACUCUGUUGUUAAAGGAGAACAUAUCUGAGAGUAACUGUUCAGGUAUUGACGGUAUUUAACCAGAAAGCCACGGCUAACUACGUGUCAG